CAUUCAUAGGGUAUUAACCCUCGUCAUCAGCAUUCAGCAGCCGGAACUAGAGUUUUUUACAGUAGAGGGCGGAAGCAUUGCUCAUUCCAAAUCAACCAUUAUCAGGUCAUGGCGCCUAAUAAGCAAUGGAUGCAACUUGUUGAUAGGCGACUUGAUGAUGCUUACAUAAUUGGGUACAAAAAUUUGUAGAUUUUGCUUUUAGAAGAACAGGAGAAACGGAUGAAAUACGAUGUCCUUGUGUCAAAUGUUGCAACACGACUCCCGGAACACGGAAGAUGGUUAGGGAUCAUUUGAUUGUAUAUGGAAUAAUUCAAAAUUAUACUUUUUGGUAUCACCAUGGGGAGAGGCUUGGUGAG